UGACCUCCAAACUGACCCGAAGGGUUACCCUCGAUCCCUCUAAACGGCAGAACUCUAACCGCUGCGUUUCGGGCGCCUCUCUGCCCCAGGGAUCCAAGAUCAGGUCGCAGACGAACCUGAGAGAAUCGGGGGACCUGAGGUCACAAGUUGCCAUCUACCUUGGGAUCAAGCGGAAACCGCCCCCCGGCUGCUCCGAUUCCCCUGGAGUGUGAAGCUGACCAGC